rnacentral:rRNA from 1 species
UAGGGAAUCUUCGGCAAUGGACGAAAGUCUGACCGAGCAACGCCGCGUGAGUGAAGAAGGUUUUCGGAUCGUAAAACUCUGUUGUUAGAGAAGAACAAGGAUGAGAGUAGAAUGUUCAUCCCUUGACGGUAUCUAACCAGAAAGCCACGGCUAACUACGUGCCAGCAGCCGCGGUAAUACGUAGGUGGCAAGCGUUGUCCGGAUUUAUUGGGCGUAAAGCGAGCGCAGGCGGUUUAUUAAGUCUGAUGUGAAAGCCCCCGGCUUAACCGGGGAGGGUCAUUGGAAACUGGUAGACUUGAGUGCAGAAGAGGAGAGUGGAAUUCCAUGUGUAGCGGUGAAAUGCGUAGAUAUAUGGAGGAACACCAGUGGCGAAGGCGACUCUCUGGUCUGUAACUGACGCUGAGGCUCGAAAGCGUGGGGAGCGAACA